UACGUAGGGUGCAAGCGUUGUCCGGAAUUAUUGGGCGUAAAGAGCUCGUAGGCGGUUCGUCGCGUCGGCUGUGAAAACCCGGAGCUCAACUCCGGGCCUGCAGUCGAUACGGGCGGACUCGAGUUCGGCAGGGGAGACUGGAAUUCCUGGUGUAGCGGUGAAAUGCGCAGAUAUCAGGAGGAACACCGGUGGCGAAAGGUGGGGUCUCUGGGCCGGAUACUGACGCUGAGGAGCGAAAGCGUGGGGAGCGAACAGG
rnacentral:rRNA from 1 species